AAGGACGAACGCUGGCGGCGUGCCUAACACAUGCAAGUCGAGCGGAGAUUAUAGCAAUAUAAUCUUAGCGGCGGACGGGUGAGUAACGCGUGGGCAACCUGCCUUUCACAGGGGGAUAACACAGGGAAACUUGUGCUAAUACCGCAUAAGAUCAUAGGAGGACAUCCUCCAGUGACCAAAGGAGCAAUCCGGUGAGAGAUGGGCCCGCGUCCGAUUAGCUAGUUGGUGGUGUAACGGACCACCCAAGGCGACGAUUGGUAGCCGAACUGAGAGGUUGAUCGGCCACAUUGGGACUGAGAUACGGCCCAGACUCCUACGGGAGGCAGCAGUGGGGAAUAUUGCGCAAUGGGGGGAACCCUGACGCAGCAACGCCGCGUGAAGGAUGAAGGUUUUCGGAUCGUAAACUUCUUUGAUGAGGGACGAAAGAAAUGACGGUACCUCAAAAACAAGCCACGGCUAACUACGUGCCAGCCGCCGC
rnacentral:rRNA from 1 species